ensembl:lncRNA
CCUCUGACAAGUUCCCUUACAAACCCCGACAAGUGCCCUUACAGACCCACGACAAGUGGUCUUGGUGACGCCGACAAGUGCUCUUACAGACUCGCAACAAGUGGUCUUGGUGAUGCCAACAAGUGCUCUUACAGACUCAAAACAAGUGGUCUUGGUGACCCCCGACAAGUGUCCUUACAGACCCCGACAAGUGGUCUUGGUAACCCCCGACAAGGAGUCUUGGUGAACUCUGACAAGUGCCCUUACAGACCCGCAACAAGUGGUCUUGGUGACCCCGACAAGUGCCCUUACAGACCCGCGACAAGUGGUCUUGGUGACCCCCGACAAGUGCCCUUACAGACCCGUGACAAGUGGGGGAGAAACUAUUUUGACAUUAAAAUUAUUUUUUUUUUAAAACAUCGUGAACUUCUUGUGAGUUUUUAUUUACUCAAGUGUGUGUGUGUGUGUGUGUGUGUGUGAGAGAGAGAGACACUUCUCAUGGUGUGGUGGCAGUUAUCGUCUGUGUGUCGCAUACUCUGCAGGACUCGUGGAAACAGACAUCAGAAUCUACAGCUGUUUUAACAAACUUCAGUUUCACAGACCUUCAACAGCUAAGAAGAUCCUUUAGCUUGUUCACUCUGAGAACAUGCAGUGUCUUCUCACAAUUAUCUUGAAGACUGAUGCCUAUCAGGAGUUUUCCAUUUGGAUUUACAAAAAAGUUCCAUUCUUGUUCCAUUUGAGAUUGAGCUAUUGAAUCCAUUUUGAGCUGUUGAAUCCAACUCUUUUAGACAGCAGUUAAUGUGCUAUGAAGUAUAAAGCAUAUUCUGCAUCUUUGAAGGAAGAAUAUUUACAGGAAACAUGCUACACUCUGUUCUUUUUUUUUAAAUCAAAGAGAAUGAAAACAUUUUUAGUGGUUUUUUUUAUAUCUUCUGAUGUCAAAUCACCUGAGAUCUUUGACUUUUCACUGGAUGUUGUUUAACUUUCUUGCACAUGCUCAGAUGGCAGGUGAUCACGAAUAACUGUGCUUUUGUUCAGCUGCAGUGAGCUACAGUACAUGUUACUGUAUGAAUGGAAAAGUCCUAUGGUAGUCAAUGACUACUGUUAACAGUUUGAUUACUAAAACUGAUCAGAAUGUCUUCUUUGGUGUUCAACAGCUAAAAACAAAACCCUCAUAAAGGUUUGGAACGAGUGUAGGGUGAGUCUCUUUAAUUGUCUUGCUCAAAUCAAUGAAUAGAUUGAACCAAAAAGUCACAGUGCUGCAGAACCUUGAAUGACCAAACGCUUAUGUGUUUUUUUAUAUUUUCCUACAGGUUUGUGAAGAUUGAAGACUGGUGCUGAGGUGAUAAACCAAAGCCAGGCCUGCCUCGUUAUUACAUUAUCAGGUAACUUUUAUUUCUUCAACAGUAUUUCAGUAACUUUAAUGACUAUUUUGGCAUAUACUGUGUAUCUCAGCAUGUGUGAGGUGAGUUUGUCUUGUUAAGAUAAAUGAUAUGUUGAUGUGUAUGUUCUUUGUUUAUGGAAAGCUGUUUGUAAAAAUUAUGGCAUUACGUUUGUGGCAAAAAAAAUAACUGCUGCUUUGUACAAUCGUCUAAAUCAGCUGCAUAUAUUCACACAAUUUAAAAGAAUAGGCUUACAUAUGUUAAUGCUGUGUAUUUUAGCUUUGCUGUUCUUUUGUUAAACCCACAUUUAUGAAUCAUGUUUCCUGUAAAUGUUCUCUCUUCAAAGAAAAUUUAAAUAAGUUUAUGAAAAUUAGAUUUCAGUUUCAACCAAGAAUGCCGAUUUUUUAGACCAAUUGGAAGACCCCGUAGGUGAGGUCUAGCUGAAGGCAAGCUUUUGUUUACAGUAGCAAGUUGACAUGACAACUGUUUUAUUUGAAGCCAAACUGGCCCGACCCCACAGACGGUUCAAGAUAGUCCCCUCCACAACACAGGCGCAUUGAUCAACACUGGCCCAAACCCCACAAAUGGGUCAAGAUUAGGGAUGCACAAUAUUAUCAGAAAGUUAUCAGCAGUGUUGCCAACUUCUUUCAAUUAAAAGUAGCUAAAACUGGUAGCUAAAUGUCACUAGAUGACAUAAUGGCAAAUUCACUGAUCUAUAUAAAGAUGAAGAUGAGAAACUGGAUAAGAUUUGUCCAAGAAGUUGCUAUAUUUGUCCUUAAACUUUUGAAAAAGUCUCAAAAGGGGAAGGGAAGUCACUAAACAUGCUACAAAGUAUCUAAAUUGGAAAUCAACUGAUAAUUGCUUAAAAUGUAAACAUUGGCCAAUGAAAAAAAUAUGCCGAUAUGCCCUGCAGAUAAGACAGAUAGCUCACAUUUACUCAGGGUGUGAUAGUGAUAAGAUUACAUCAGCAGUUUGGUCAUUCUUGCCUGAAUGAUGAUUCACUCAGUUGACAGUUGUUUUGGAUAGUCACAUUUACUUUGAGAUUGCAUGCAGAACGCCACGUCUGGUGUGCAAGAGAGUCAACAAUUUCUUGCAUGUGCAGUAGUAGCAGCAGCGGCACCCAUCCGGUAAGGCGUUUUAUUUACUUAGGGGGUGCUGUUGGCCUACUUGUAAUAAAAUGAAAAUAAAAUAUACA